UGACCUGCGGAGGGAUCAUUACCGAGUUUACAACUCCCAAACCCAAUGUGAACGUUACCAAACUGUUGCCUCGGCGGGGUCACGCCCCGGGUGCGUCGCAGCCCCGGAACCAGGCGCCCGCCGGAGGAACCAACCAAACUCUUUCUGUAGUCCCCUCGCGGACGUAUUUCUUUACAGCUCUGAGCAAAAAUUCAAAAUGAAUCAAAACUUUCAACAACGGAUCUCUUGGUUCUGGCAUCGAUGAAGAACGCAGCGAAAUGCGAUAAGUAAUGUGAAUUGCAGAAUUCAGUGAAUCAUCGAAUCUUUGAACGCACAUUGCGCCCGCCAGUAUUCUGGCGGGCAUGCCUGUCCGAGCGUCAUUUCAACCCUCGAACCCCUCCGGGGGAUCGGCGUUGGGGAUCGGGACCCCUCACACGGGUGCCGGCCCCUAAAUACAGUGGCGGUCUCGCCGCAGCCUCUCCUGCGCAGUAGUUUGCACAACUCGCACCGGGAGCGCGGCGCGUCCACGUCCGUAAAACACCCAACUUUCUGAAAUGUUGACCUCGGAUCAGGUAGGAAUACCCGCUGAACUUAAGCAUAUCAUAGACCGGGAAGAA
rnacentral:rRNA from 1 species